AGCGAACGCUGGCGGCACGCUUUACACAUGCAAGUCGAACGGCAGCACGGGGGCAACCCUGGUGGCGAGUGGCGAACGGGUGAGUAAUAUAUCGGAACAUGUCCGGAAGUGGGGGAUAACGUAGCGAAAGUUACGCUAAUACCGCAUAUGCCCUGAGGGGGAAAGGAGGGGAUCGCAAGACCUUUCGCUUUCGGAGUGGCCGAUAUCAGAUUAGCUAGUUGGUGGGGUAAAGGCCUACCAAGGCGACGAUCUGUAGCUGGUCUGAGAGGACGACCAGCCACACUGGGACUGAGACACGGCCCAGACUCCUACGGGAGGCAGCAGUGGGGAAUUUUGGACAAUGGGCGCAAGCCUGAUCCAGCCAUGCCGCGUGAGUGAAGAAGGCCUUCGGGUUGUAAAGCUCUUUCGGACAGAAAGAAAUCGCCAUUCCUAAUACGAGUGGUGGAUGACGGUACUGUAAGAAGAAGCACCGGCUAACUACGUGCCAGCCGCCGCGGUAAAAC
rnacentral:rRNA from 1 species